rnacentral:rRNA from 1 species
AGUGAACGCUGGCGGUAGGCCUAACACAUGCAAGUCGAACGGCAGCACAGGAGAGCUUGCUCUCUGGGUGGCGAGUGGCGGACGGGUGAGGAAUACAUCGGAAUCUGCUCAGUCGUGGGGGAUAACGCAGGGAAACUUACGCUAAUACCGCAUACGACCUUCGGGUGAAAGUGGGGGAUCGCAAGACCUCUCGCGUUUGGAUGAGCCGAUGUCGGAUUAGCUAGUUGGUGGGGUAAUGGCCCACCAAGGCGACGAUCCGUAGCUGGUCUGAGAGGAUGAUCAGCCACACUGGAACUGAGACACGGUCCAGACUCCUACGGGAGGCAGCAGUGGGGAAUAUUGGACAAAGGGCGCAAGCCUGAUCCAGCCAUACCGCGUGGGUGAAGAAGGCCUUCGGGUUGUAAAGCCCUUUUGUUGGGAAAGAAAUCUUUCAGGCUAAUACCCUGGGAGGAUGACGGUACCCAAAGAAUAAGCACCGGCUAACUUCGUG